AACGAACGCUGGCGGCAUGCCUAACACAUGCAAGUCGAACGAGACCUUCGGGUCUAGUGGCGCACGGGUGCGUAACGCGUGGGAAUCUGCCCUUUGCUUCGGAAUAACAGUUAGAAAUGACUGCUAAUACCGGAUGAUGUCUUCGGACCAAAGAUUUAUCGGCAAAGGAUGAGCCCGCGUAGGAUUAGGUAGUUGGUGGGGUAAAGGCCUACCAAGCCGACGAUCCUUAGCUGGUCUGAGAGGAUGAUCAGCCACACUGGGACUGAGACGCGGCCCAGACUCCUACGGGAGGCAGCAGUGGGGAAUUUUGGACAAUGGGCGGCAAGCCUGAUCCAGCAAUGCCGCGUGCAGGAUGAAGGCCUCGGUUGUAAC
rnacentral:rRNA from 1 species